UGGGGAAUUUUGGACAAUGGGGGCAACCCUGAUCCAGCCAUGCCGCGUGAGUGAUGAAGGCCCUAGGGUUGUAAAGCUCUUUCAACGGUGAAGAUAAUGACGGUAACCGUAGAAGAAGCCCCGGCUAACUUCGUGCCAGCAGCCGCGGUAAUACGAAGGGGGCUAGCGUUGCUCGGAAUCACUGGGCGUAAAGGGUGCGUAGGCGGGUCUUUAAGUCAGGGGUGAAAUCCUGGAGCUCAACUCCAGAACUGCCUUUGAUACUGAAGAUCUUGAGUUCGGGAGAGGUGAGUGGAACUGCGAGUGUAGAGGUGAAAUUCGUAGAUAUUCGCAAGAACACCAGAGGCGAAGGCGGCUCACUGGCCCGAUACUGACGCUGAGGCACGAAAGCGUGGGGAGCAAAC
rnacentral:rRNA from 1 species